UGAACUUUAAGUUAUAUAAACUUUGAGCCUUCCAAGCUAAAAAAAAGAGCCCCUUAAGUUCAA
rnacentral:tRNA from 1 species